GUACGGAUAGCUAAACAAGUUCGUGAUUUGUUUGAAGAAGGAAGUAUGUCAUUUAUUUAAUCGUCCGAUGAUAACAGGUGUACUUAGAACCAAGUGUUCCACGGCUUCCGAGCAUCGGCAGGUUACCAGACCAUGUCUUGUCGUGUCAUCCAUUUACUUCUGGUUUGCGGUUUAUUGUUGGACUCGUCAGACGGUGCCACUGUUACAGUAGACGAUUUCACGGCAGCUGUCGAUUGUUCCGACCUUGAACUUAAGUGUAACUUUACGUCAGAUAUUACGGAGACGAAAAUAUAUCUUAUAUGGAAGAAUCACCGUGGUCAUCUCAUUUACAGGAUGGAUUUUCAGUCAAAUAAUUACACUUUUGGAUCAAGCUUUGAAUUUGCCAUUUCGAAGAACAAUGGAUUCAGGACAGGGGACAUAACCUUUCCGAAAGCCAACGUGACCAAAGAAAUGGCUGGACCAUAUGUCUGUACAUUUGUAACAAACGCAACCUCUGUAUCAGCCACUGCAAGUAUUGAUGUCCAGUGUAAGUAUUAAGGAGUGGAUCUAGAAUUUAGUUUUUGAAGAAGUACCGAUAGAGAUGGCGAUAGCGAUGGCGAUGUUGGUGUCGGUGUCA